AAAAAGCUGCUUUCUUCUUCUUCUUUCUCUCUCAAUCACUUUGGUCUCUUUUCUUUUUCCCGAGAGAGAGAAAAAAAAGAAAUGGGAUUGUUAAUGUCGGGAGAGAAAGUGAAGUAUGCUCUUCUCUUCAUCUUCAUCAUCUGCUUCGAUAUUUUCUUCGCAUCAAAUGCUCAAUUUUUGCCAGACGAUGAAGGUCCUUUCUCUAUCUUACUCUUUUUUUUUUUCUUUUUUUUUGGGGGUUUAAUCUAUAGUACCUUACUCUUUCUAUUACAUAUUUACAUUUCCAGUUACAAGAUUUCUUCACUGACUCGCCGAUUCAACUUUAUUUUUCGAUGAAUUAUAUAAUUAUAAUUGGAUUGUUGCUUUAUAUAGAAAAAAGAGAGUCAAAUUAUUGGAUUCUUGCUUUAAAUACAUUUAUAAAAAUUAU
rnacentral:lncRNA from 1 species